CAGUAGCCGCGGGAAUACGAAGGGUGCAAGCGUUAUCCGGAAUUAUUGGGCGUAAAGAGCUCGUAGGCGGUUUGUCGCGUCUGCUGUGAAAACUGGGGGCUCAACCCCCAGCCUGCAGUGGGUACGGGCAGACUAGAGUGCGGUAGGGGAGAUUGGAAUUCCUGGUGUAGCGGUGGAAUGCGCAGAUAUCAGGAGGAACACCGAUGGCGAAGGCAGAUCUCUGGGCCGUAACUGACGCUGAUGGACGAAAGCGUGGGUAGCGAACAGGAUUAGAUACCCGCGUAGUCCCUGUCUCUUAUAC
rnacentral:rRNA from 1 species